CGUCAGACGUGUGAGGUGGCCGUCAGGAUGCGGUACCUGCCCGGGGCCGCUCCCACCCGGGUGGAGUGAGGGGCGUCCCUCAGCUCCUCUCAUUCCAGCCCUUCCCGCCCUCCCCGCUCCGCGUCCCUAGGCCAGCUGUUAGGUGCACCUGCCUUUCCCUCUCCUUGGGCACCGUUCUCAGCACCCCCUUCACGACGGUCGUUCCCGAUGCGCCCUGUCUGUAGCCCUCUGUGACCUUACCUGAGGGAGCCGCCGUGCCUCUCCAUCAUGCCGCCUCAUCUUGAGUAUUUCCCCCCAUGGUUUCCAUCACAGACCAGAUAACUGAACAGCCUCCUGUAAAAUGUUGGAUGAAAACAGCAAACCCCUUUGAACUGUACAGGCCUGGCAUUUGGCUGGUGGAAUAAAGGAAGGAGGAAGUGCACAAAACAGCCAACUACCAUUUGGAACUACCAUUCCAAAACCAGUGUGUCGAGUUUUGCCUCCUCUCCGGUGGUUAGGGGCGUCUUGGGAGGGGAUUAACCCACACGCACCAACGGGAAUACAGUUCCUUCAUCUGGAAAAUCAAGUGGACAUUUCUGUUUGUGCUAUGUAAACAAAAGCUGCGACACACAGAAAACCCUAACCCUGGAAUCGGUACUGGUAAUGACAUUUCAAAGAGGAAGUGACCGUGUCUGCACCUCCCACAUGCCAUCAUCUUCCCACGUGAUGUUUCAGGAAGGGCGUGGCUGUGAAAUCACGAAAGUGCUGACUCAUGGACAUUCUGCUGGUGUUGACCUAGGAGAGGAGGGAACCUGGGCCUGGAGCGUUCAAGGCCCCAUGUGUGUGAUGGGCAUCUCCAGAACACAAGACCCGCAGAGCUGACUUCAGGUGCCAGACUGUCCACAAAGCAGGACAUGUCCAGCUGCAAACUGCAGGGGUCAGGACGAGGACUCGUGCAUCUGACCGCCUGGGGAGGGGGCAGCAUGGGUGCUGUGGCCCUCGUGAGCAGGUGUGACUGUGUGCGCUUCAGAACAGCGUCUUGCCUGAGGCUCUCACCUGCCACUCCUCUCUGGUUACUCCGGGGCUUGGCUAUGGUGCACAAACAUGCCAUGAUGUCUCUGAAUUCCACCUUUUCAGUCCUGUGGUUUCUGAGGUACAUGUUACAUGCAUGCAGUGCUGCCUGCCUACUGCACCCUGGGAUGGAGGAGUGCAGGCAUCACUCUUCGGGGAGCCCUAGUCAUCUCUGGACAUCGGUCAGUGGCCAGCCUGGGCCCCAUGUGUGGCUUCUCCAUUGAUGAAGUGAGAAGGUCAGUGACCUCACGGACGGGGACCCCAGAGAGGUGCACAGUCACAUUGGAGAGACGGCCAGGACCUGGGCCCUGGGUUGGACUAGGAAAGAAGGAAGAAGAUUCUGAAACUCCACCCCAUGUCUCAGGGAGUAAAUCAACAGAGGCCCAGAGAGCAGAGGUGAGCUGUGCCCGGCAGGAGAACCAGCAGCUUCUAUGAGCCAGGCCCUGUCGCUGGCACUCAGGCCUCCCCCUCACAACACCUUGUGGGAUCAGGGCUGGUGCCUGCAGUGACGGGAAACGAUGCCCAGGAGGGUGAGGUGGAGCCC